rnacentral:rRNA from 1 species
GUGGAUCUCCUUCGGGAGUGAAGCUAGCGGCGGACGGGUGAGUAACACGUGGGCAACCUGCCUCAUAGAGGGGAAUAGCCUUUCGAAAGGAAGAUUAAUACCGCAUAAGAUUGUAGCUUCGCAUGAAGUAGCAAUUAAAGGAGCAAUCCGCUAUGAGAUGGGCCCGCGGCGCAUUAGCUAGUUGGUGAGGUAACGGCUCACCAAGGCGACGAUGCGUAGCCGACCUGAGAGGGUGAUCGGCCACAUUGGGACUGAGACACGGCCCAGACUCCUACGGGAGGCAGCAGUGGGGAAUAUUGCACAAUGGGGGAAACCCUGAUGCAGCAACGCCGCGUGAGUGAUGACGGCCUUCGGGUUGUAAAGCUCUGUCUUCAGGGACGAUAAUGACGGUACCUGAGGAGGAAGCCACGGCUAACUACGUGCCAGCAGCCGCGGUAAUACGUAGGUGGCAAGCGUUGUCCGGAUUUACUGGGCGUAAAGGGAGCGUAGGCGGACUUUUAAGUGAGAUGUGAAAUACCCGGGCUCAACUUGGGUGCUGCAUUUCAAACUGGAAGUCUAGAGUGCAGGAGAGGAGAAUGGAAUUCCUAGUGUAGCGGUGAAAUGCGUAGAGAUUAGGAAGAACACCAGUGGCGAAGGCGAUUCUCUGGACUGUAACUGACGCUGAGG